CCUACGGGAGGCAGCAGUGAGGAAUAUUGGUCAAUGGACGAGAGUCUGAACCAGCCAAGUAGCGUGAAGGAUGACUGCCCUAUGGGUUGUAAACUUCUUUUAUAUGGGAGUAAAAUGUUCCACGUGUGGGCUUUUGUAUGUACCCUAUGAAUAAGGAUCGGCUAACUCCGUGCCAGCAGCCGCGGUAAUACGGAGGAUCCGAGCGUUAUCCGGAUUUAUUGGGUUUAAAGGGAGCGUAGGUGGAUUGUUAAGUCCGGUGUGAAAGUUUGCGGCUCAACCGUAAAAUUGCAGUUGAAACUGGCAGUCUUGAGUGAAGUAGAGGUGGGCGGAAUGCGUGGUGUAGCGGUGAAAUGCUUAGAUAUCACGAAGAACUCCGAUUGCGAAGGCAGCUCACUGGAGUGCAACUGACACUGAGGCUCGAAAGUGUGGGUAUCAAACAGGAUUAGAUACCCGGGUAGUC
rnacentral:rRNA from 1 species